rnacentral:rRNA from 1 species
GUGUGCCUACGGGGGGCAGCAGUGGGGAAUAUUGGGCAAUGGGCGCAAGCCUGACCCAGCAACGCCGCGUGAAGGAAGAAGGCUUUCGGGUUGUAAACUUCUUUUAAGGGGGAAGAGGAGAAGACGGUACCCCUUGAAUAAGCCACGGCUAACUACGUGCCAGCAGCCGCGGUAAUACGUAGGUGGCAAGCGUUGUCCGGAUUUACUGGGUGUAGAGGGCGUGCAGCCGGGAGGACAAGUCAGAUGCGAAAUCCCGCGGCUCAACCGCGGAACUGCAUUUGAAACUGUUUUUCUUGAGUACCGGG